ACAGUGUCAGAUGUUGCCUAACACUGUACAGUUGGUUGCAAGAUCGAAUCUCCGAGGUAAAAAUCUGACUUAAGUUAAAUAAAGGUAAAAUAAAUAAACAUAUUCUAUUAAAUUUGACUGAAAUCAAAUAACAUCUUUGACAGAUCAAUGUCAUUUGUUUAACUGAAUGAAGCUUCUAAAUUGCGUUAAUCACCUCAUGCGUAUCCACAUUGAAUAGUGUCAGGGUAGUGCAGUGGCGGCAGCUUCUUAGAAGAGUUGGAGGCUGAUUGGGGCCGUGGCUUUCAGGUUGUUAUUAGAAGAGUUGGAGGCUGAUUGGGGCCGUGGCUUUCAGGUUGUUAUUAGAAGAGUUGGAGGCUGAUUGGGGCCGUGGCUUUCAGGUUGUUAUUAGAGAAGAGUUGGAGGCUGAUUGGGGCCGUGGCUUUCAGGUUGUUAUUAGAGAAGAGUUGGAGGCUGAUUGGGGCCGUGGCUUUCAGGUUGUUAUUAGAGAAGAGUUGGAGGCUGAUUGGGGCCGUGGCUUUCAGGUUGUUAUUAGAAGAGUUGGAGGCUGAUUGGGGCCGUGGCUUUCAGGUUGUUAUUAGAGAAGAGUUGGAGGCUGAUUGGGGCCGUGGCUUUCAGGUUGUUAUUAGAAGAGUUGGAGGCUGAUUGGGGCCGUGGCUUUCAGGUUGUUAUUAGAAGAGUUGGAGGCUGAUUGGGGCCGUGGCUUUCAGGUUGUUAUUAGAAGAGUUGGAGGCUGAUUGGGGCCGUGGCUUUCAGGUUGUUAUUAGAAGAGUUGGAGGCUGAUUGGGGCCGUGGCUUUCAGGUUGUUAUUAGAAGAGUUGGAGGCUGAUUGGGGCCGUGGCUUUCAGGUUGUUAUUAGAAGAGUUGGAGGCUGAUUGGGGCCGUGGCUUUCAGGUUGUUAUUAGAAGAGUUGGAGGCUGAUUGGGGCCGUGGCUUUCAGGUUGUUAUUAGAGAAGAGUUGGAGGCUGAUUGGGGCCGUGGCUUUCAGGUUGUUAUUAGAAGAGUUGGAGGCUGAUUGGGGCCGUGGCUUUCAGGUUGUUAUUAGAAGAGUUGGAGGCUGAUUGGGGCCGUGGCUUUCAGGUUGUUAUUAGAAGAGUUGGAGGCUGAUUGGGGCCGUGGCUUUCAGGUUGUUAUUAGAAGAGUUGGAGGCUGAUUGGGGCCGUGGCUUUCAGGUUGUUAUUAGAAGAGUUGGAGGCUGAUUGGGGACGUGGCUUUCAGGUUGUUAUUAGAAGAGUUGGAGGCUGAUUGGGGCCAUGGCUUUCAGGUUGGUAUUUUUUCACACCCAUCAGAAUGAAUGUCAUUCCAAUGAAUCUGAUCAAUUGACAUAAUCUCCG